GCCUCUUCGACGUUUCAGAUUUUUUUUUGGUUUCAGAUUUACCACUAAUCUUUCCAUCUAUUGAUGAUUCUCUUAAGUCUUCGCGAAUCUCAUAAAAACUUACCUUUCCCACAAUCCUCUUUGGAAACAUCUUCAGCUUCCAUGAUUGGAAGGGCUUGCCUUUGAUGAUUUCUGUUUUAAAGCCAUGGUUGGAAGAUCUACAGGUUUACCGGACAAGCCAUGUGAAGAAGAGGAUGGAAUCAGAUUUCUGAGUUCAUGAAAAUCUGACCGAAGAUGCAUUAGAUUGAAUCAAUGAUAUUGUUUCCACCAUUUGUGAAAGUCGCGACUCUUGCGUAAGAAUACUUGUCUUCUCAAAAAAUUAUCCAAAUUAUGUUGUAGAUCUCCAAUAGUUCGACUUGGAUCCAAUGGUACUGUGCAGCAUGUGAAACCAAUUGAAGUCCUAUCUCUGCAGGUCUGACAUCUUUUGCACGCAUCAUCGAAAGAGCCAUGACGAUUGUGGAAGAAAGUGGAGGCCGGUACCAUGUUCUUCUCAUAAUCGCUGAUGGACAGAUAACAAAAGACGUGUUAGAACUGGAACUUGAGUUCAGUUAUAAAUAUUCGCAGACAUUUAUAUAGCUAAUUUCUGAGCUUUUUGUUUAAUAGGUGACAAGAAGUGUUGAUACAGAGCAUAUGGCAAGCAGUCCACAAAAGCAGUAAACCAUUGAAAUAAACUAGGUGCUGAGACCCCGCGCAAGCGCGGGGCUGGUUACUUUAGUUAUCAGUGGGGUGGUAUGAUUUACGGGAUGUUGGUGUUGUUUACGAUUUGUGCAAAUUAAAGAAUAAAAUUUAUCGGAAGUAAGACAACAAAAUUGAUCUUAGCUUUUGACGAUUAACUCAAGUUAGAGACAUCUCCCAAAACAGAAGGAAAAUUCAAAAAGUAUAAUUAAGGUAAAAUAUAGAGAAUGUAAAAAGGGCCUAAACAUGAAACAGAGAGCGUGGAACAACGGAAAGAGAAAGAGAAGAAGAUGAAGAAGCUUACGUCAUGUAUAUGAAAUUAAAAAGAUAGAUAUUGUGACAGCGCAACACCAACUUAUUUGGGGGUCCAUAUCAAGUUAUCAACUCUGUAUAUAUCCGUUGUUUGAAUAAAUACUCAAAGUUUCAAACUACUUGCAUUACAAAAUUAUUUUAUUUUUUCAAAAUACACAUUAUUUGCUAGUACUUGUUAGGGAGCUCAAGGACCGUAGUAGCAUAUAUUAAAGCUACACUAAUCUUCAUCGCUAAGAUCACACAUUGUCUACAUCCUCAACGUUAGGAUAUUCUAAGUAACACUUCUCCUCGUCUUCCUCGUCACGGGUUCCAUCUUCAUCUUGUAAACUCCAAGUAACCAACUUCCAAAACGCAGCACUCCACUUCUCUUCCCUCUUCAAGCUUAGCGGUGGUCUGUGAUAAAAUUCAGCCGUUGGAUUUAAACAGAGCUCUUAUAUUGUCUUUGUGGUUCAUAAGAGUUUCAAGAAUGGUGAAACUGGAAGCAUCGUGGCGAGUGACUCCCCUUCUAAGGAGAUCUGCCCCCUGUGUGAAAUAGUUUAACAAAACAUAAAGAUUAAAAUAGUUUAACAAAAUAUAAACGACGGUUGACGUUUUUACAUUAUUAAAAAGUAAUUGUGGUUUUAAAAUGUUUGGGCUCAAAUUAUGUUGGGCUCUAUGUCUAAAACAUGACUUGAACUUAAAAACUGAAAAAAAAAAAACGUUAGGUUAUCUUUCUUUUUUUGUUUCUCCGUCGUCGGGACAGCAUCACCUGUGGGAUCUCUGGCAUGAUUAGAGCUUAAGUUUGUGAGAUUGGGGAGCGAUAAUAGUGUGAUGCGUUAUUAAAGAGGAGUUUACUUACAUCAGUUAGGCUUCGUCCGCAUCAUUCCAUUGUCGUUGGUCCUCGGGUGCUUCGUCGUCGUUGAAAUCUGUAAAAGAAAAGGUUUUAAUUUGUUAAGUAAGAUGUCUUUUAUUUCUUUUAGAUUCGGUUGCUAAAAACAUAAUUCAUUCAGUUUUUCUGUUUUGUUUGGAGAUUGCAGGGAUGAAACCGUAGAUCACAGAAUCAUGUAAGAAAAACAGAGAAAAAUCAUUAGUUGUUCAUAAAAAAAUCCAUAGACAAAACCAAAACAAAAAGAUGAAGACACGUUUCAUAUAUGAACAAAGAUUAAGCAAAGCAGAGUUAAAGUGAUAAAAAAUAAGUUAGAAACAAUCAUCACCAGUUCAUCGAGGAGGAGAAUGGUGAUGCCCAUAAACUCUCCAUUCUUGUUAAUGUUCCUGGAAUCCUAGAAUCGGAUGAGCCGACCAACAAUGGAUUGAGUGGACCUUCCAAGGCGGAGAGAGUUGAGGGUGGAGUAGGGAACGGCGGCUGAAGCGGCUGGAGCAGUUGGAUAAGUCAUUUUCGUGACGGAUGUGAGAAAGUAAAGCGAUCGGAAAACUGAAAAAGAAAAGUUCGAGACAAGAUGAAGCUUUUACCUCGAGCGAUUCUAUAUAUAUGAGAGCUCUGAAGGCGUUAGAGGAGAAACUAAGCGUUUGGUAGGCACAAAACGUGCGUAGAGCCUUAAAGAUCGACAAUAAUAGCUGAUUUCCGAAAGGGGAAUCGCAAGCGACGAAGGAGAUGGUGAAGAUGGCGGCUUCCCUAAUCUUCUUAGCUUUGUCCGUAUCACCACUUUGGGCAGAUACAAAGUCUAAUAAACAGAAAAUCAAUAAGCCCAAAGCCCACUUUUUGUCGAAGUCCAUUCGUUACCCAUCAAUUAAAAAAAAAGAGGUGGGGAUCCAUAAUGUUAUAUUAGUUUCCAACCUUUAUAAUAUAUAUUAGUUUCGACCAUCAAUGUACAAAGUAUCCUUUAGUGCAAUGGUAUAGUUGUGGGUGUUUAUAUCUCAAUAACCCGGGUUCGAGCCACAUAUUUGACAUUUUUUCACACUUUUAAGAAGUGGGACCCACAGACCGCUGACGUGUCGCCUCAGGAGGAGAGAAACUCCCUCAUUAUAUAAUAGAUUGGAAAGUAAACUAUAUUCUAACAAUCAUGGAUCCAAACAGAUCAGCUAAAGACUUGCUUGUAUAUCUUCGGGCAAUUGUCAAUAAUAGCACCUUUUGAAGUUUAUUUCUCAAAAAGAGCACUAGAAGGAGAAAGUCACAAAAAUGACAUUCGUUGAAGGGAGAAGUACCAGGACUACUUGAAGCUCAAAUCAAGAGUUGAAAUCCUACAACAUUCAGAACGGCAUUUGCUAGGUGACCCGGUAUGGGAGUGGAUGAGCUUGAGCAGCUAGAACUUUAAGUAGAUACAUCACUAAGGCAAAAAUGAUCCACAAAGUUGGAGGAAAGUGAUGCAGCCCUUAAUCAAUCACUAUGGGGAGCUUCUUCUUCCGCAGAACAUCAUCAACAACAGCAACAACAAGGGAUGAGCUCUUAUCAAGCAAACAUUCCGAGUUAAGAAGCAGGUUUCUUCAGGCCUUUACAUGGGACGUUUGUUUGUUUUUAUGGAAAGAUCAUUACAAUCAUUUGUAUGACAAAUGCAAGCAACUCUGCAACAUCACAUAAUAUUAUUAACGGGUUCUUCCGUGGAUGGAUGGUCUGAAAAAAUUCAUAGCAAUCUAUACGUAUGUGUUCUAUAGAUAACAUAUCAUGGUUGUGCCAUUUGGUUUUUCCAAGAGAACAAUAGUUCAUGACUACAAAACACUGAUAUAUAACUAAGGCUGUAAUAUCAUGGUUGUGCCA